CCUACGGGAGGCAGCAGUGGGGAAUAUCGGACAAUGGGCGAAAGCCUGAUCCAGCAAUGCCGCGUGUGUGAAGAAGGCCUGCGGGUUGUAAAGCACUUUCAGUUGGGAAGAUGAUGACGUUACCAACAGAAGAAGCACCGGCUAAAUCCGUGCCAGCAGCCGCGGUAAUACGGAUGGUGCGAGCGUUAAUCGGAAUUACUGGGCGUAAAGCGCGCGUAGGCGGCUAAGUCAGUCAGAAGUGAAAGCCCCGGGCUCAACCUGGGAAUUGCUUUUGAUACUGCUUAGCUAGAGUUUGGUAGAGGAUAGUGGAAUUCCAGGUGUAGCGGUGAAAUGCGUAGAUAUCUGGAGGAACAUCAGUGGCGAAGGCGACUGUCUGGACCAAAACUGACGCUGAGGUGCGAAAGCGUGGGUAGCAAACAGGAUUAGAUACCCUGGUAGUCCACGCCGUAAACGAUGUCAACUAGCCGUCGGACCUAUUUACAGGUUUGGUGGCGCAGCUAACGCGAUAAGUUGACCGCCUGGGGAGUACGGCCGCAAGGUUAAAACUCAAAGGAAUUGACGGA
rnacentral:rRNA from 1 species